GUAGGUGAACCUGCGGAGGGAUCAUUAACACGUGCCAAAACACGUUUUAAACCAAUCGCUCUGUGAACACAAACCCAACUCCCUUCAUAUAUGGACGAUCGAACAACCAUCAGGGUAGAGGAUGUGCAUGCGGAUAAUCCUUUCGGGGACUCGGCAUGUCGUCACUAUGGCUCGGUCUAGGGCACCUCGAGUGUCCAAUCCUGUAUGAAGUGUCUGCGCGACUACCUGGCAGUGUGCCUUUCAAGGCCUGUAUUUGAUGAUUCGUUAUCUUAUGCUGUGCUGAGACUGUGCAAGCGUUCUGCCGAAUAUGUUUAACAAAUUUUUAACCCCUUUAACAACAUACUAAUAACUGAACCAUGUUCAUGCAGUCGCUUGUAUUGAGUUCGUCUUGAUACAUGAAGGAUACAUGAUACGAUAUACGUAAUGCUGAACAACUCUUAGCAACGGAUCUCUUGGUUCUG
rnacentral:misc_RNA from 1 species